rnacentral:lncRNA from 1 species
CGUUCGUCAAAGCCUCUAAAACAUUAGGCCAAGAGCUGGAAGGCCUAAGAGGGGUUACUUGACUCUCUUUUUAUUUGUUUACCUGGAUUCAGGUAGUUGUGUAGAAAUUUAUUGGGUCUUUCGACUUUGCAUUUACUUUAUGCAGUGGAGCGUCUUUUGCUUUUCUUUUAACAUUCUUGUGGCGACAAGGUCCUUUGACAGCUUGGCAGUCUUUAGCUUGCAAUUAUGAUCCUGGCUCAAAAAGCAAAUGAGGUUGGUGGGGAAGCACAGGAGGACAUUAUCGCGGAUCUUGAUGCACUGGAACUCAGUACAGAUGGUGAAGUUAACAGACAGGUGAAGUUGCUCCUUGAUACGGAAGGUUGUCACUAAUAAAAUCAUGAAAGUGGGUGAUUUAAGAGCUAUUCCGUCCCAAGCUUGGCCAGUUGUUAAUAACUCGGAAGUCCAUGAGUUGGAAAAGAACAUAACAAAAAGGAGAGAGACAAGGCACAGGUGCUGGUACAGGGUCCAUAGUCAGUGAUGGACAGCCAUGUUAUGCCCAAAGAGUGGCCGGAGGAAGCGGUCGUGGAAGAGAUUGAUUUUAGGAUUAAAUAUAAAAAUGUUUCAUGUAUUAUAAAUUUUUUAUCAAUUUAAUAUUUAAAAAAUAAAAUUUUUAGCUUAAUAUUUUAAUUUUUAUUUCAUUAUUCAUUUUGAUAAUUGAUAUUAAUACUAUCAAUUAAUUUAUUGAUGUGAUAUAAAUAUUUAAUAAAAUUUUAUAUUUAUUAAAAAUUUCAAUCAAUGUCACAUAAAUAUAAAAAAUUCAUAAAAUUUAAAAAAAUCUAAAAAAUUAUUUAAAAUUUUAAAAUAUUUGAAAUAUUUAAAAAAUUCAAAAAAAUUAAAACAAAGCUCAAUUGUGUCUAUAGGAACCAUAAAAAUCCAUUCCUUCCACUACUCUAAGCCUUCUUCCAAUAGCUUCAUCUUUUCAUCGGUAGUAGUAUCUUUCACUUUCUCAAGUAUCUUUAUCCCUAGAUUUUCUCUUUCUUUGGGAUCAUCCAAAUUAGGAACCAAGAUUGACUAGGGUGAUUUUUCCAUCAUAACAGGAUUAAAAAAUUUUUGAAACUGUCCUGAAACAGAUGUCGAUGUCAUUCUUGGAUAAAGAUUGAAAUAUCCACAGAGAGUAGGAGUUUGUACUCUGGUUCCUUGUGAAGGUUGGGUUGGCCGCAGCUCGAAUCCUGGAGGAAUAUAUAGGAUCCGCUAUGUCUGGCGAUUGCUCUUGGAGGCUAGGAUUUUCUCUCAUUAUUUUUUCUUUAUUAAGUUUCCUGAGCAUAACCAUUAUUGUAUUGAGAUCCCUUCUUAGUUCUUCUUGAACUUUCUCGAUUCUCUCAAAUCGACUAGCCUGUUCUUGUUUCAUGAUUCUUGUCUGAGUCUUGGUGUUGUAUGAGUGGCGAAUGGGUUGAGUCGAAAUUUUUUAAAAGCGAGCUAUUCUUGAACCUUUGUUACCACAAAAUUUUUUUAAAAAAAUCAGAAUGUCAUCUGUCAAAAAUUUUAUUUUUUGAAAGAAAAUAAAAAUGGUACAGAUGAUGCAUAAAUGCAAAUGAGAAAUAUUUACUCUUAGACAAAUUUCAACACUAAAAAUUUUCAUUGAUUCCAUACAACUUUGAUUACAUGGGAUUUAUCAUCCUAGAAUUGUAUCCAUAAAAGUGUUUGACUUACUCAUAAUGGUCUUUCGUCUUGUCUAGAAAGUUUAUUAGGCGUUGUUUAUAUUCUCCUAUAGGAUUGACUUCUUGUCUUAACGUUUUUACCUUUUCAACCAUCUCCCAUGCUUUUUUUACUACCUUAUAAACUUGACUAGUUAUGUGCUCUAUGUACUGUUACCUUUCUAAACUUUCAAUUUUUCAUAUCAUGCGAGCAUCUAUUUCUGAAUCACGUGUGAAGAUCCAAUCUUUUUUCAUUCUCUGCCACUCAUCUAUUAUUGCUGAAAUAUGGUUCUUGUGGACUUGUAGUUGUAGCUCUAACCCUUAGAUCAACUGGUGAAACGAUUCUUUCUCAUUCAGUACUUCUAGGUGCUUUUUUCUCUCCUUCGUGAUUAUGGCCUUUAGCCUUUCAUUUUCUUUUUGACACUCCAUCAACCUUACUGAAGCCAUAUUAUACAACCCUUUCCAAUUCUAGCAUUCUUGAGAGGUUUCUGUGACUUUCUCUUGCUUUUCUUAAGCUUUGCCCUUCCAUUAGUUCAUUUUUUCUCGGAGUUCAUCCACUUCGCGUUAUCGACUAAGGUAAGACUUAGUGACUUUUUCAGUCUUGAAUUGAAUUCGUAACCUCUUAUUUUUCUGGUGCAGAUCUUUUAAAUCAUUAUUGGCCACAUCUCGUUCUUUUAUAGCUUUUUCCAAUUUGUUCUUUUAUAUCUCUACUUUAUAUUUUAAUUGUCUCAUAUUCUCGCAAAGUUUUAAAUUUUCUUUUCUUAUUUUUUUUGUCAGCUUUUGAUUAUUUUUCAUAAGCUCAAUUUAUGAUAAUUGCACUUCUUCUAAAAUAUUAGCUGAUCGAUGUGAAAUGUCAUCAAAAGAAAGUAUUAUAUCUCUAGGUCGCUUUGCUUUCCAAAUUUGAUAAUCGAGGGUGACUUUAUCGAUGAGAGGCCCCAAUCUCAUUCUUUAUGUUUUCUUUCAUGCUUGGAUCAACUGCUUCGAGGUUCUUGGUGGACUCAAUUCCUUGUAAAUGAAUUCUACUUGGACCGGACCAUGAGUGACAGGAACAAACUACUUUGCAUCAAAUUACCUAAACACCAUUAACGGAGCAUAACUUACAAUGCCCCAUAGCCCUAAUAACGGCAUCCACGACUUGUUUUUUUCACGAUACAAUAAAGGCACACGGGGCAUCCAAUGUGCCAUCUAUUGGAUUUCAUCCCCAGUAAGCCUUCACAAGAAAUGACCCACUCAUCUUUAGUCUUUAAUGUCGACCAUUGACUUUUAUGAAACUCUUCGAUUGGUGCCUUAUUUCGAAGAUACGAUUUCAAAAACGCACUCUUUUCACACUUGAAAUGACUUAUAACCCACACAUAUAAUAAAUGUGCACGCCCUAUGAAUCGUCUCUUUUCAUUUUGUCGACAAAAAUUCAAUGACCCGAUGAUUUCAGCUAGGAUUGCUGGUGCGAGAUUAAUUACUUGAGUUUCAAUUUACUCAAAAAAGUCUACCACAGUUAUCUCAAUGUAACCUAAAGUCUUCAAAAAGAUCACUAUGCCAUACAAUGUUAGAGCAAACAUAGCUAAACCUUGAUCAUCAUUCAAAUGCCCUUGAAUGAAAUUUUAGAGAAAAUCCUAAUGGAUGCCGAGAUGUUCACCUUUAGGCUUCGUGAAAGAAUCUAUGGUUUUUACUUUUACCCUCAUAAGCUUGGUCAACUUUUUACGAUAACCUGAUUUUGAUUUUUGGGUAAACACUUUUUUCGGACACUAUAGUUUAAUUCCAAGCAAAAUCGAAUACUUCUCGAUAGUUGGCACCAAAUCCUCUUGAUUAAAAAUGAAGCAUCUAUAGGAUGGAUCUCAAAAUUGUAUAGCUACUCUAACCAACUGUUUAUCAAUCACUACUGAAAUGAGAGAUGCAAUCUGCUUAUACUUUUUACAAAAACUUUCUCUUCUUUAUUCGCUUAACUGACCUCAAAUAAUGGUUAAGUCUUCUAAAUCAUUUUGUAUGAGAUCCAAGUGUACUUUUUCGGGUAACUCAAACACAUAACCGAUAGGCAAACAAUCUCUACUCUUUUGUUGAGCUUCUUUUGAUCAAACAUAUACUUCAUUAUACGGCUCACAUAGGACACUGACUGAGGAUGAAUAAAUCUGUAGUUUCAUAGGUCCACGAAGACUCCUUAGGAGAAAACUGUCAUAGAGCAAAUAUCUCGAUGCAGAACUAUAUGGUAUGAUUAAUGUAAAAGAGAAAAAUAAAACAAAAUUGAGUUAGUGUAAGGAUAUGGUUUAGAAAAAAAAACUCUUUUUUUUUUUAGUUUUGAGAUUUUUUAGUUUUGUUUUGUUUUGUAUUACACAUAACUUUUUUUCUACAUACUUUGGUAAUCUCUAAAAAACGUGGGCAAAACUCUACCUAAGGUUGCCUUCUUACUACUUAUUAAAUGUUAGGUUUGGGUCGACAUGCGACUAAAAGUUUUCAAAUUGUUUCUUACUGUCAUCCAUACUGGACUAGUAAAGCACCUCGAUCUUCACCCAUUAUAGGCUACGAACGAAAAGGGUUUAAUUCAAGUGAAAGUAUUUUGCUUGCCAUUACGGAGGUUAUCACCUCACGAAAGCAUAGGUACUUUACUUCCCCUAUAAGGGAUGGUGCCUGGCUAUAGAGCUCAUGCAUGAGAUGCAUCAUAUUAUUGUGUGUGUAUAUGUUUCCUAAUUUAUCAACAGUAAUAUAUACAAGAAAACUAAAGCAUAAAAGACAUAGUAAAAAAAAUGUGUGAAAUGUAUGUGAAUUUUUCAUUUUUGAUUUGUUUUGUUUUUUACCUUUUUUUUAUUGAAAGUGAAAAAUAAAAAUCUAAGAAAUCGAUUAGGACUGUUUAAAUUAAAAUUUAAAGAUAACACGUAAUUAAUUUUAGCCUAACUGUCGAAAACAAAUGACUCCCCAGCAGAGUCGCCAAGCUAUCAUAAUGAUUUUGCGUCCGUCCGAUGAAUUUGAAAACAAAAUAAAAAAAAAAAGUUACCACCAAUCUUUUUUGGCUAUGUACGAUUGGUCACCUAUUAAAACAUAUCCUUUUAAUGAAAUCUUAAAAUUAAUUAAAAUUUAUUAAAAGAAUAAUUUUAGGGUCUGCGCAACAGUUUGGGUUCGGGAGUUGGUUACGUGUGGGGAAGGAUUAGCACCCCUAUAAUACUUGUUUAAAAACGAUACCAAUUAAUUACGUGUUAUCAUUUGAUUUUGACAAAAAAUUAGUCUCAAUUUCAGUGUUUGAAAAAUAAUUUUCUUGAUUUUUUUAUUUAUUAAAAUGUUUUUUAUAUUUAUUGUUUCAUUUUUAUUUGAGAAAAUUAAAUUAGAAUCUUUUUAUUGAAAUAAUUCUUAAAAUAUUUCAGUAUGUUGGUAACAUUAGAAGAAUUUUUUCUCACCUAGGGAUUUCUUAGGCAUCACUUCUUGGAAUAUCUUAAAAUUUCAUCUUCAGAUGUUCGAAUUUACUUUUCACAAAAAAUUAUGUCAUGCAUGCAAUGUAAAUGCUAACAUAUUGAUGAACACAUUUUAUUUUUACUCUUUAGAAAUAUUAUGAUUUUUUAUUAAAUUUUUUUUCAUUUAAAACUUUGAAGAAAAUGAAAAUUUUAUUAUAUUGAAGAUUUUCUAUAAAUACUCCAAUACACUAGUAAUAUUUUAAAAAUCUUCUCACCUAAGAAUUUUUAAAGCAUCUCUACUUGAAAUACUUUUAGAAUCCCAUCAUUGGACAAAAUUUUUUUUCUUAUUUUUUCUUAAUUAUUUUUUAAUUUUUAUUAUUAAAGAAAAAAAAUUUAUUAUAUUGAAAAAUUUUUAUAAAUACUCCAAUACAUUAGUAAUAUUUAAAAAAUUUUCUCACAUAGAGAUUUCAUAAGCAUCACUACUCGGAGUACCUUAGAAUCUCAUCGUCGGAUAAAAAAUUUUUUUUUUACAUUUUUUAUUAAUUUAUAUUAUUAAGUUUAUUUUUUAUUUUUUAGAGUUUGUUUUUAAAUUUUAACAAAAUUAUAAAAAUUUUAAUCAUAUAUUUCAUCAUUUAAUCUAACAAAUAUAAUUAUCUUAUAUGCACAAAUAUUAUAAAAAUAAUAAUAAAAAAUUUUUUUACCUGAAUCGGAUCGAUCAACAAUCCGAUCAACAUUGGAUUCGGUUUGGUCCUAUGGCUCGGUUCAAUCUGGGUGACUCGACAGUUCAACGCGAUCUGGUUUGGUUCGACUCGGUUUAUAUGGACCAGUCAAGGUAAAAGGGUGACCCGUGUUGUCGGGUCAGUUGCGCGGAUCCCGGAUCAGAUCGACGGGGUGACGCACGGAUCCUAUGCUUAAAAUGAUGUCGUUUUGACCAAUUAAUGAAAUGACGUUGUUUUCGCUUUCAGCUUUCUAUAAAAGUCCAAAAUUUUUUUUUCUCAUUUUUUCUUCUCCCUUUUUUUCUUACACUCUCAGAGCUUCUCUCUCUACCCGAUCGACCAAUCACCAUUGAUCGUCGUUGAAGGUUGAUUGUCGGUCGUUGAUCAUCGUACACAGCUAUCGAAAAAUCUCAAAAAAGCUUGAAAUACUCUCAUUGACUCUCUGAACACAGAUCUAGCCUUCUUUUCAUCAAAAAAAUUCCUCGAUUCCCUAGAUCUACUUGUAAGCUUUUGGCCAAACUUUUUUUUUGUAUUCUGACCUCUAUUUUUUAUUGACUUUGCUUUCUUUUUACAGGUGAUCUCGACGUUGAGUUCUCCGUUCUAGGGCACUGAGUUAUUUUUUUAUAUUUUUUAUUGUUGUUUUUGGUAGAAAGCUUUUCCUUUUUUUUUUUUGCAGGGUAUCCCUUCUCUCCCUUGUUGGUUCGGCCAUGAGCUCUAUUUAUAGAGCUCCGGUCAUACCCUGUGUCUGAGUGAACAGCACAAGGCUUGGCAGAGGAGGGUGCUAGCACAGCUAUCUGCUCUCUUUUCCUUCUUAUAUCUUGUCCAGUGAUAGGGCAUGAUUGCAGUGAGUAUAAGAUUUGGGUGUGAUCAGGGAUGAACAAGAAUGAAUAGAGGGUGGUAGUGAUGUCGUGCAUGACACCCAUUGCCACCGGCCAUUUGUUUUUUUUCUUUUGUGUCUUAGCUUUUGUUUUUUUUUUUUUUUUGGUUUUGUAUUUUCUGUUUGUUUUUUUUCUUUCUUUUUAUUUUUUAUUAUUAUAUUUAAUAAUAAUAUUAAUAUCUUAUUAAUAUAUAUUAUUUAAUAAAAAAAACAAAUUUGAUGUUUACAAACUCAAACUCAAUACAAAUGGUGAAGUUAACAGACAGGUGAAGUUGCUCCUUGAUAGGGAAGGUUGUCACUGAUAAAAUCAUGAAAGUGGGUG